GUGGGUAGUUUGACUGGGGCGGUCUCCUCCCAAAGAGUAACGGAGGAGCACGAAGGUUAGCUAAUCCUGGUCGGACAUCAGGAGGUUAGUGCAAUGGCAUAAGCUAGCUUGACUGCGAGCGUGACGGCGCGAGCAGGUGCGAAAGCAGGUCAUAGUGAUCCGGUGGUUCUGAAUGGAAGGGCCAUCGCUCAACGGAUAAAAGGUACUCCGGGGAUAACAGGCUGAUACCGCCCAAGAGUUCAUAUCGACGGCGGUGUUUGGCACCUCGAUGUCGGCUCAUCACAUCCUGGGGCUGAAGUAGGUCCCAAGGGUAUGGCUGUUCGCCAUUUAAAGUGGUACGCGAGCUGGGUUUAGAACGUCGUGAGACAGUUCGGUCCCUAUCUGCCGUGGGCGCUGGAGAAUUGAGGGGGGCUGCUCCUAGUACGAGAGGACCGGAGUGGACGCAUCACUGGUGUUCGGGUUGUCAUGCCAAUGGCACUGCCCGGUAGCUAAAUGCGGAAGAGAUAAGUGCUGAAAGCAUCUAAGCACGAAACUUGCCCCGAGAUGAGUUCUCCCUGAGACUUUAAGUCUCCUGAAGGAACGUUGAAGACGACGACGUUGAUAGGCCGGGUGUGUAAGCGCAGCGAUGCGUUGAGCUAACCGGUACUAAUGAACCGUGAGG
rnacentral:rRNA from 2 species